GGGGGGAGUGCCAGAUCCUGGGCUGCUUCCCCUGGUGCCCUGGGAUCUGGGGCCUGUGCCGCUGGAAUCACGCUCCUGGGCCAUGCAGCCCCCU
rfam:Canis lupus familiaris chromosome 2, whole genome shotgun sequence.